CCUACGGGAGGCAGCAGUGAGGAAUAUUGGUCAAUGGACGAGAGUCUGAACCAGCCAAGUAGCGUGAAGGAUGACUGCCCUAUGGGUUGUAAACUUCUUUUAUCAAGGAAUAAAACGAGGCACGUGUGCCUUUUUGCAUGUACUUUAUGAAUAAGGAUCGGCUAACUCCGUGCCAGCAGCCGCGGUAAUACGGAGGAUCCGAGCGUUAUCCGGAUUUAUUGGGUUUAAAGGGAGCGUAGAUGGGUUGUUAAGUCAGUUGUGAAAGUGCGCGGCUCAACCGUAACAUUGCAGUUGAUACUGGCAGUCUUGAGUACGGUUGAGGUAGGCGGAAUGCGUGGUGUAGCGGUGAAAUGCAUAGAUAUCACGAAGAACCCCGAUUGCGAAGGCAGCUUACGAACCCGUGACUGACAUUGAUGCACGAAAGUGUGGGUAUCAAACAGGAUUAGAUACCCUGGUAGUC
rnacentral:rRNA from 1 species